rnacentral:rRNA from 1 species
GGUCGAGUGCGCCUGCGCUGAUAAUCCAACGGGGCUCAAGCCCGACACCGAAGCUGUGGGAUGUUAGGGGACAGGGUAGAGGGGAGAAGGGAGAGGGCGACCUCUAGACCGAAGCCCGCUCCGCUGUACCCUGUGCCCUAACAUCGGUAGGGGAGCGUUCUGGUCAUCAGCGAAGGGGAAGUGGAAACCUCCCUGGAGAGGCCAGAAGAGAGAAUGUCGGCAUGAGUAGCGAGAAGGGCGUGAGAAUCGCCCUCGCCGAAAACCUAAGGUUUCCGACGCAAGGUUGAUCCGCGUCGGGUUAGUCGGGCCUAAGGCGAGGCCAAGAGGCGUAGCCGAUGGACAACGGGUUAAUAAUCCCGUACCGUGGUCAGGGAGCGAAGCGGGGACGCAGGGGAGAAGGCCAGCCGGCAGAUGGUAAGUCGGUGCGCAAGCGAGCCUUCGGGCAGAAGUGGUUGGGAGACCCUGCCGAGAAAAGCCGAUAAGCGAAGAACUGAUCAUGCCCGUACCGUAAACCGACACAGGUGGGUAGGUCGAGAAGACCAAGGCGAGCGAGAGAACCCUGGUUAAGGAACUCGGCAACAUGCACGCGUAACUUUGGGAGAAGCGUGACCCUGUUGAAGGGUGGCACAGAAGAGGCCCUACCGACUGUUUACCAAAAACACAGGUCUCUGCGAAGGCGAAAGCCGACGUAUAGGGGCUGACGCCUGCCCAGUGCCGGAAGGUUAAGGGGAGGGGUGAUAAGCUCUGAACCGAAGCCCCGGUGAACGGCGGCCGUAACUAUAACGGUCCUAAGGUAGCGAAAUUCCUUGUCGGGUAAGUUCCGACCCGCACGAAAGGCGUAACGAGUGGGGCGCUGUCUCAACCAGGGACUCGGCGAAGUUGAGGUAGCCGUGAAGACGCGGCUGACCCGCAGCAGGACAAAAAGACCCCGUGGAGCUUUACUACAGCUUGGCGUAGGGUUAGGGGGCGAUUUGCGUAGGAUAGGUGGGAGGCUGAGAAGCUGGGGUUGCGGCCUCGGUGGAGCCGACGUUGAAAUACCACCCUGAUCGUGUCUUGGCCCUAACGGAUGCCGUGGAUCCGGUGUCUGGACGGCGCCUGGUGGGUAGUUUGACUGGGGCGGUCGCCUCCUAAAGAGUAACGGAGGCGCCCAAGGGUUCCCUUAGGGUGAAUGGAAACCACCCGACAAGUGCAAAGGCAAAAGGGUGCUUGACUGUGAGACCUACAAGUCGAGCAGGGACGAAAGUCGGGCUUAGUGAUCCCACGGUACCG